rnacentral:rRNA from 1 species
AGUGAACGCUGGCGGUAGGCCUAACACAUGCAAGUCGAACGGCAGCACAGUAAGAGCUUGCUCUUACGGGUGGCGAGUGGCGGACGGGUGAGGAAUACAUCGGAAUCUACUUUUUCGUGGGGGAUAACGUAGGGAAACUUACGCUAAUACCGCAUACGACCUACGGGUGAAAGCAGGGGAUCUUCGGACCUUGCGCGAUUGAAUGAGCCGAUGUCGGAUUAGCUAGUUGGCGGGGUAAAGGCCCACCAAGGCGACGAUCCGUAGCUGGUCUGAGAGGAUGAUCAGCCACACUGGAACUUAGACACGGUCCCGACUCCUACGGGAGGGCGCAGUGGGGAAUAUUGGACAAUGGGCGCAAGCCUGAUCCAGCCAUACCGCGUGGGUGAAGAAGGCCUUCGGGUUGUAAAGCCCUUUUGUUGGGAAAGAAAAGCAGCAGGUUAAUACCCCGCUGUUCUGACGGUACCCAAAGAAUAAGCACCGGCUAACUUCGUG